rnacentral:misc_RNA from 1 species
GAUGAAGAACGUAGCGAAAUGCGAUAAGUAAUGUGAAUUGCAGAAUUCAGUGAAUCACCGAAUCUUUGAACGCACAUUGCGCCCAUUAGUAUUCUAGUGGGCAUGCCUGUUCGAGCGUCAUUUCAACCCUUAAGCCUAGCUUAGUAUUGGGAAUCGACUUUACUGUCGUUCCUCAAAUUCAACGGCGGAUUUAUAGCAAUCUCUGAACGUAGUAAUUUUUUUUCUCGUUUUUGAAAUACUAUAAACCUCAGCCGCUAAACCCCCAAUUUCUUAUGGUUGACCUCGGAUCAGGUAGGAAUACCCGCUGAACUUAAGCAUAUCAAUAAGCGGAGGA